UCUAUAUAGUGUAUAAGAAUACAAUUACCGUAUAAUAUGCGUUCAGUGUUCCCCCUUGAUGGUUUGGAAGUUAAUUAAGGAGGACUAAAUAUAGUCUAAAUGUUGUAAAAUAUGAAGGUAUAAACAGAGUAGGAAAUAUGACAUCAUUUUUAGAAAAGCUAAUGUUUUAAAUGCACUCAUUUAAAGAAAUUAUUCAAAUCUGUCUUUUUAGCUUUACAGCUGUAAGUACUCAAAAGACAAAUGUGUUUUUUGAGAGCUAAAACUAUGGAAGCAUAGUUAUCAAUCUAUGGAGCUAAGAGAGCCUAUGAGUGGGGACGCAACAACCAACACCACUUUCACUUCUUUUGAAGCAGUGACUGAAAAUAACUGAGGUAACAACUUCAUGACUUUGAUUCUCCAAAGGUGCUAGGUUGGAUCAAGUCAUCAAUCUAGGGUCACCCUUACAUCUUGAGGAAACACUACAAGAUUGUGUUUGAGAGGACCUGAUACUAGUUUCCAGUAAUGCUCAGGUCACGCAGCCUGAUAGAUUUAUCAGGACUUAUUUUACCUAUAACUCAGAAAGGACGGAUAAAUCAGCAAAAGUACCUAAAUACAGCACAAGAGAGGUAAACAGAAAAGAAAAAUCUAUGGAAAUUCAGAGGAAGAGGAGAUUUAUUUCCAUUUAGAGGAACUGAGGAGCAACUUCAAAAUGGAGGCAACUCAAUAUCCUCACAUAGCAGAAUUGGGACAUGGAAUGAUGUCUAAUAACCUAAUAAAACUACUAGUGACAUACUUAAAAUCUUGGACCAAAAUCAAGUUUCAAAAGGCUGGGGUCUAAAUGUAAUGUGGAAUCUUCGAUUAGAUCCUGGAGCAGAAAAAGGACAUUAGUAGAAAAGCUGGUGAAGAACAGAUAAUGUUUAGUUAACUGUAAUGCACCAAGACUGGUUUCAAGGUUUUGACAAAAGUACCAUGGUAACAAUAUGUUAACAUUAAAGUAAAGUGGAUGACUGUAUCCAGAAACUCAUUAUAUUAUUUUCUUUUCUGUGAAUCUAAAAUUAUCACAAAAUUAGCUGUCUAUUUUUUUAAAAAAUAGGGGAAAAAAAGGCAGGGAGAAUAAAGCAUGCUGACAAAGACGACUGAGGAGGCCUGUAGAUCCGCAAAGUGCCUUAAAAGAGUCAAGGGAUAAAACAAAACACUGAGGGUAAAAUCUUGUACUUUUACUGUUAUCAGAAGAUUGUCCAAUUACCCCUCUAUUUCUCAAACAGCAUGAUCAAACAAUAACAGUAAUUCCACUUCUGGGAAUCUAUUCAAAGGAACAAUCCCUAGUAAAACUUAAUGUACAAAGAUGCUCAUGGAAUUUUUUAGUAAUAAAAAAUGGAAACAAUCUAAAUAUAAAAAUAGUUAAAUAAACCUAUUAUUAGACCCUUCUCCAUAUUCCUCCCAAGUCUAUCUAACAAACUUCUCUGUAUUUUAUGCCACACUUCCUUGUCAUUAAUUCUAGAUAGAGUUGAUCUGUAUCUCAACUAUACAUGACACCUAUUUAAAUCAUGUUCUGCCAAUAGAGUACUUUAAUAUCUGUUUCACGGUCUAGAUUAUGAGAUUCUUGAGAGCAGAAACUAAGUUAUAUUCACAUCAGAAUCCUUGGCACAUAGCAGUUAGCAAAUAAAUUCUUCAGAAAUGAAAAGUUAAAUUAUAUAGGAGCCACACUUGGAUAAGUCUAGUCCCACAGAGGACAAAUCCAAUUUUUUUUGAAGAUCUAUAGAAUAAGCAGAAGCUGAAUAUAACAGAAGGUCUAAGAAACCCACAACUAGCCCCGGGGUAGUAAAUUUUCUAUCAGCAGAUACAGAGGUAGCUGUAAUAUUCUGACAAUGUCAAUAAACAGAAGGGCUCUUUUCACGGAGGGAGUGUUAACAAUAUGACUGAGAUUGUGGUGACAGUGUAUUGUAUGCGGGUUGGAAUACAGGCUCUGAAGUGAUAAUGCCCAAGUCUGAGUCUUAGCUCUGCCUUAAUUUCCUCACCCAUAAAAUGAGGGUGACAGUAAACCUCCUUUAUAAAUUUGUGGUGAGGGUUAAAUGAGAAGAUGUAUAUAAAAACUUGGCAUAGUGCCUAGAACAUAGUAACUAUUCAAUAUAAGUUAAUUUUUGUUAUUACAUUAUUGCCUCUUAAACUUCUGGCCUCCACUUAUAUUAGUUGAUUCAGAUGUGAAGGAGAGAAAUAAUCCAGAGGAAUCUGGGCAGCAUCUGUAAGAACUGUAAAGUUGUGGAAUGAAAAUUUCACAUCUGGAGGCAAGGUUAAUAUAUUCAUUCAUGACCUUUUAUCACUGGUGAUUGAAACUUGGAAAAGAAAGGUAAAUAUUAAAAAUCUAGACAAUAUUUAAGAAGAGAAUUUGGAUUUUAGGUGAAAGUACAGGCUUAGACUAAGAACUAAAGAUGGAAUAUGAGACCUGGGAAAAAAAUGCUUACCCAGAGUAACUAAUACAAGUUAACACUGUGUUGAAUGUCCUAUACUUUUACCAGGGUAACACGAGAAGUAAGAGUAAAAGAAUAAUAAUACGGUAAUGACAGUUGCAGCUGUGGCUAAUACUUACACAGUACUUACUAUGUGCCAGGUACUGUUCUACACGCAUUACUACAUGUAUUAACUCAUUUAACCUAUUCACUCUUAUAUGGAAGCAUUUGGGCUUAAAAAUCCAACAGGUUUUAAGUUAAAUCUUGGCCCUAUCACUAAUGGCCAGAGAACCUUGAGCAAGUUACUUCACUUUUCUGAGCUUUAGAGUCCUCAUAUCUAACUGGGAGUGAGAAUAUCUAACCCACAGGGAACAUGUCAGGAUGAUCUGAGAGUAAAUCAUAAGACACCUAUCAUAGUGCCUGAUAUAUAGGUACAUAUGCUGGUAGCUAUAGCUUUAUCAUUUGCUAUCAAUAUUGUAAUGAUAAUUCAAUCUUAUGACCAAAACAUCAUUCUGAAGGCAUGCAGAACAUGCAGAGCAAAGUUUUAAAAGGGGAACCUUUUGCUUCCUUCCUGAGUUCCUCUUCAGCUUUAUAAAAAACGGUGAAAGUGAAAGCGUUAGUUGCUCAGUCAUGUCUGACUUUGCAACCCCAUGGACUGUAGCCCGCCAGGCUCCUCUGUCCAUGGAAUUCUCUAGGCAAGAAUAUUGGAGUGGGUAGCCAUUCUCUUCUUCAGGGGAUCUUCCCAACCCAGGUCUUCUGUAUUGCAGGCAGAUUCUUAACCGUCUGAGCCAUUAAAAAACGGGGGUUCUGGAACUGAAGAAAGAACUGUAAGUUCUUCACUAAUGCUUCACUACCUACAGGACAAAAUCUUAACUUCUUGGCAUGACAGACAAGGUCACUGUGUUUAGGUCUAGACUACUGGUCUGGCCUUUAUCUCCACCCUCCUCAUAUUUCACUUGCCAAAUACGCCACAAUUUUUCAAGCCUCUGUGUCUUCAUAACAUGUUUCCUUUGUCUGAAAUGCCCUUGACUAAUAAAAUCUUGCAUGUUUCAGUUCCA